rnacentral:lncRNA from 1 species
AUGGAUGGGCUCCGAGGGGCUUGCGGGAGGGGGGCGCCAGUGUUCGGGGCCGUUUUGGCGGCUAUGCAGGAUUGGCAGGAGCUGCGAUGCUCACACUUGCCUCGCCGACCGCCAUUUCACAUCCAGCAGAGGAGGCGGGGGCAGCCGCUGAGACGGUUUUUCACAAGUAUUCCCACGAGCAUUCUGCUGAGAUGAACAAUCAGAUGACCUCGUGUGAGAUUUGGAGGAGAGAAGGAAAUGGAGAGCAUGCGUCUGCCGCUUCUGUGGUUUCUGUCGGACAGAUUCCUAUAAGUGAAACUGCUGGGCCAAAGAGGAAGCACAUAUAAAACUGUGAUAGUGAAAUUGCCUUCUGGGAGAUUGCACCAAUUUACACUCCUAUCAAGAGUGAUUGGGAAUAUUCAUUUCUCUCUAACUCCACUAACACUGGAUGUUGUCCAAAGUUUUUAUUUUUGCACAACUAAUCAAGGAAAAGGUAUCUUUAAG